GCCAGGUGUGGUGGCGCACAUCUGUAAUCCCAGCUGCUCGGGAGGUUGAGGCAGGAGGAUCAUGAAUUCAAAGCCAGCCUCAUCAAAAGCAAGGUGCUAAGCAACUCCGUGAGACCCUGUCUCUA
rnacentral:sRNA from 1 species